GACGAACCACACGAACGUUAUUCGGAAUUACUGGGCUUAAAGGGUGCGUAGGCGGCGUAGAAAGUUGGGUGUGAAAUCCCUCGGCUCAACCGAGGAACUGCGCCCAAAACUACUAUGCUUGAGGAAGAUAGAGGUAAGCGGAACUUACGGUGGAGCGGUGAAAUGCGUUGAUAUCGGAAGGAACGCCGGUGGCGAAAGCGGUCCGCUGGCCCUCUACUGACGCUGAGGCGCGAAAGCCAGGGGAGCAAACGGG
rnacentral:rRNA from 1 species